AGACCCGAAACCCGGUGAUCUAGCCAUGGGCAGGUUGAAGGUUGGGUAACACUAACUGGAGGACCGAACCGACUAAUGUUGAAAAAUUAGCGGAUGACCUGUGGCUGGGGGUGAAAGGCCAAUCAAACCGGGAGAUAGCUGGUUCUCCCCGAAAGCUAUUUAGGUAGCGCCUCGUGAAUUCAUCUCCGGGGGUAGAGCACUGUUUCGGCUAGGGGGCCAUCCCGGCUUACCAACCCGAUGCAAACUGCGAAUACCGGAGAAUGUUAUCACGGGAGACACACGGCGGGUGCUAACGUCCGUCGUGAAGAGGGAAACAACCCAGACCGCCAGCUAAGGUCCCAAAGUCAUGGUUAAGUGGGAAACGAUGUGGGAAGGCCCAGACAGCCAGGAUGUUGGCUUAGAAGCAGCCAUCAUUUAAAGAAAGCGUAAUAGCUCACUGGUCGAGUCGGCCUGCGCGGAAGAUGUAACGGGGCUAAACCAUGCACCGAAGCUGCGGCAGCGAACGUAUCACCCAAGACAACUUUACGGAGUUGACGAUUGACGGAGCGAAGCGACGUCAAAGCGUUCAUUAAAGUCGAGUUGGCUUAGGGAUACGUUCGUUGGGUAGGGGAGCGUUCUGUAAGCCUGUGAAGGUGUGUCGUGAGGCAUGCUGGAGGUAUCAGAAGUGCGAAUGCUGACAUAAGUAACGAUAAAGCGGGUGAAAAGCCCGCUCGCCGGAAGACCAAGGGUUCCUGUCCAACGUUAAUCGGGGCAGGGUGAGUCGACCCCUAAGGCGAGGCCGAAAGGCGUAGUCGAUGGGAAACGGGUUAAUAUUCCCGUACUUGGUGUUACUGCGAAGGGGGGACGGAGAAGGCUAUGUUGGCCGGGCGACGGUUGUCCCGGUUUAAGCGUGUAGGUGUGUGUUCCAGGUAAAUCCGGUUCACUUUAACACUGAGGCGUGAUGACGAGGCACUACGGUGCUGAAGCAACAAAUGCCCUGCUUCCAGGAAAAGCCUCUAAGCAUCAGGUAACAUCAAAUCGUACCCCAAACCGACACAGGUGGUCAGGUAGAGAAUACCAAGGCGCUUGAGAGAACUCGGGUGAAGGAACUAGGCAAAAUGGUGCCGUAACUUCGGGAGAAGGCACGCUGACACGUAGGUGAAGUGAUUUACUCACGGAGCUGAAGUCAGUCGAAGAUACCAGCUGGCUGCAACUGUUUAUUAAAAACACAGCACUGUGCAAACACGAAAGUGGACGUAUACGGUGUGACGCCUGCCCGGUGCCGGAAGGUUAAUUGAUGGGGUCAGCGCAAGCGAAGCUCCUGAUCGAAGCCCCGGUAAACGGCGGCCGUAACUAUAACGGUCCUAAGGUAGCGAAAUUCCUUGUCGGGUAAGUUCCGACCUGCACGAAUGGCGUAAUGAUGGCCAGGCUGUCUCCACCCGAGACUCAGUGAAAUUGAACUCGCUGUGAAGAUGCAGUGUACCCGCGGCAAGACGGAAAGACCCCGUGAACCUUUACUAUAGCUUGACACUGAACAUUGAGCCUUGAUGUGUAGGAUAGGUGGGAGGCUUUGAAGUGUGGACGCCAGUCUGCAUGGAGCCGACCUUGAAAUACCACCCUUUAAUGUUUGAUGUUCUAACGUGGACCCGUAAUCCGGGUUGCGGACAGUGUCUGGUGGGUAGUUUGACUGGGGCGGUCUCCUCCUAAAGAGUAACGGAGGAGCACGAAGGUUGGCUAAUCCUGGUCGGACAUCAGGAGGUUAGUGCAAUGGCAUAAGCCAGCUUGACUGCGAGCGUGACGGCGCGAGCAGGUGCGAAAG
rnacentral:rRNA from 1 species